CCUACGGGGGGCAGCAGUAGGGAAUAUUGCUCAAUGGGGGAAACCCUGAAGCAGCAACGCCGCGUGGAGGAUGAAGGUUUUAGGAUUGUAAACUCCUUUUGUUAGAGAAGAUUAUGACGGUAUCUAACGAAUAAGCACCGGCUAACUCCGUGCCAGCAGCCGCGGUAAUACGUAGGAGGCAAGCGUUAUCCGGAAUGACUGGGCGUAAAGGGUGCGUAGGUGGUUUGACAAGUUGGUAGCGUAACUCCGGAGCUCAACUUCGGAACUACUACCAAAACUGUUGGACUCGAGUGCAGGAGGGGCAACUGGAAUUUCUAGUGUAGCGGUGGAAUGCGUAGAUAUUAGGAAGAACACCGGUGGCGAAGGCGAGUUGCUGGACUGUAACUGACACUGAGGCACGAAAGCGUGGGGAGCAAACAGGAUUAGAUACCCUUGUAGUC
rnacentral:rRNA from 1 species